GACGAACGCUGGCGGCGUGCUUAACACAUGCAAGUCGAACGGAAAGGCCCUGCUUUUGUGGGGUGCUCGAGUGGCGAACGGGUGAGUAACACGUGAGUAACCUGCCCUUGACUUUGGGAUAACUUCAGGAAACUGGGGCUAAUACCGGAUAGGAGCUCCUGCUGCAUGGUGGGGGUUGGAAAGUUUCGGCGGUUGGGGAUGGACUCGCGGCUUAUCAGCUUGUUGGUGGGGUAGUGGCUUACCAAGGCUUUGACGGGUAGCCGGCCUGAGAGGGUGACCGGCCACAUUGGGACUGAGAGACGGCCCAGACUCAUACGGGAGGCAGGAGUGGGGAAUAUUGCACAAUGGGCGGAAGCCUGAUGCAGCAACGCCGCGUGCGGGAUGACGGCCUUCGGGUGGUAAACAGCUUUCGCCUGUGACGAAGCGUGAGGGACGGUAAUGGGUAAAGAAACACCGGCUAACUACGU
rnacentral:rRNA from 1 species